GGUGAGGUGUCCGAGUGGUUGAAGGAGCACGCCUGGAAAGCGUGUAUAGGUUAACACCUAUCGAGGGUUCGAAUCCCUCUCUCACCGCCA
rnacentral:tRNA from 1 species